CAUUAUUGUAACCAAAGCGUGAGAGGCGCUCNAAGGCUGUCGCCGACUUGAAAGGGUCGUGCACGUCUGAGGGUGUCCUCUCGCGUUAAAUCCAUCUCACCCUUUUGUGCACCACCGCGUGGGCCCCCUCUUGCCGAGAGGGCUCACGUUUUCACACAAACCCCCUUAUGUAAAAGUGUAGAAUGACACGAUUUGUUUUGCGAUGACAUGCAAUCAAUACAACUUUCAACAACGGAUCUCUUGGCUCUCGCAUCGAUGAAGAACGCAGCGAAAUGCGAUACGUAAUGUGAAUUGCAGAAUUCAGUGAAUCAUCGAAUCUUUGAACGCACCUUGCGCCCCUUGGCAUUCCGAGGGGCACACCCGUUUGAGUGUCGUGAAAUUCUCAACCUCCUUGGUUUCUUCUGGAAGCCAAAGGAGGCUUGGACUUUGGAGGCCUUUGCUGGACCAUGAAAGCCAGCUCCUCUCAAAUGAAUUAGCAGGGUCCCCUUUGCCGAUCCUGGGCGUGUGAUAAGAUACCUCCGCGUCUUGGAUUUUGGCUCUGUCGCUUUUUGGGACCUGCUUCCAAUCGUCUCUUGAGGAGACAACGUUCGAGCAUGCCUCGACCACGAACCCUUGACCUCAAAUCGGGUGAGACUACCCGCUGAACUUAAGCAUAUCAAUAAGCG
rnacentral:rRNA from 1 species